ACGGGGGGUGCUAGCGUUGUUCGGAAUCAUUGGGCGUAAAGAGCGUGUAGGCGGCUGGAUAAGUCAGAUGUGAAAGCCCUGGGCUUAACCCAGGAAGUGCAUUUGAAACUGUUCAGCUUGAGUAAGGGAGAGGAAAGUGGAAUUCCUGGUGUAGAGGUGAAAUUCGUAGAUAUCAGGAGGAACACCUGUGGCGAAAGCGGUUUCCCGGACCAAUACUGACGCUGAGGCGCGAAGGCGCGGGGAUCAAACAG
rnacentral:rRNA from 1 species